GACGGAGGAUGCAAGCGUUAUCCGGAAUUAUUGGGCGUAAAGCGUCCGCAGGUGGCAGUUCAAGUCUGCUGUCAAAGACCGGGGCUUAACUUCGGAAAGGCAGUGGAAACUGAACAGCUAGAGUAUGGUAGGGGCAGAGGGAAUUCCUGGUGUAGCGGUGAAAUGCGCAGAUAUCAGGAGGAACACCUAUUGCGAAGGCAGCUCGCUGGGACGUUACUGACGCUGAGACGCGAAAGCGUGGGGAGCAAACAGG
rnacentral:rRNA from 1 species